AUUGAACGCUGGCGGCAGGCCUAACACGUGCAAGUCGAGCGGAUGAAGGGAGCUUGCUCCUGGUUUCAGCGGCGGACGGGUGAGUAAUGCCUAGGAAUCUGCCUGGUAGUGGGGGAUAACGUCCGGAAACGGGCGCUAAUACCGCAUACGUCCUGAGGGAGAAAGUGGGGGAUCUUCGGACCUCACGCUAUCAGAUGAGCCUAGGUCGGAUUAGCUAGUUGGUGGGGUAAAGGCCUACCAAGGCGACGAUCCGUAACUGGUCUGAGAGGAUGAUCAGUCACACGGGAACUGAGACACGGUCCAGACUCCUACGGGAGGCAGCAGUGGGGAAUCUUGGACAAUGGGCGAAAGCCUGAUCCAGCCAUGCCGCGUGUGUGAAGAAGGUCUUCGGAUUGUAAAGCACUUUAAGUUGGGAGGAAGGGCAGUAAGUUAAUACCUUGCUGUUUUGACGUUACCAAAAGAAUAAGCACCGGCUAACUUCGUG
rnacentral:rRNA from 1 species